rnacentral:rRNA from 1 species
UCCGUAGGUGAACCUGCGGAGGGAUCAUUAAAGAGUUGCAAAACUCCCAACCAUUGCUAAACAACCACUGUUUCUUCGGCGGGUGGCCGCAUGGCCGCGCGCACCCUUCUCGGGGGGGACGCACCCCGCCGGAGCACACCAAACUCUUGUCAUUAUUGAUGCUCUGAGUAAAAAACAAAAUUAUUACAACUUUCAACAAUGGAUCUCUUGGCUCUGGCAUCGAUGAAGAACGCAGCGAAAUGCGAUACGUAAUGUGAAUUGCAGAAUCCAGUGAAUCAUCGAAUCUUUGAACGCACAUUGCGCCCGCCAGUAUUCUGGCGGGCAUGCCUGUCCGAGCGUCAUUUCAACCAUCAAGCCUAGUGCUUGUGUUGGGGCCCCGCGGCUGCCGCGGGCCCUGAAAACCAGUGGCGGGCUCGAAGUCGAACCGAGUGCAGUAAAUUUCUUCGCUUGGGAAGGUGACGAGUUCCGGCCGUAAAAAGCCCAACUUUAUCAAGGUUGACCUCGGAUCAGGUAGGACUACCCGCUGAACUUAAGCAUAUCAAUAAGCGGAGGAAGUCGACUGCCAAGGGGCACACAGGGGGGGAUAGGGGG